rnacentral:rRNA from 1 species
GACGAACGCUGGCGGCGUGCUUAACACAUGCAAGUCGAACGGUAAGGCCCUUCGGGGUACACGAGUGGCGAACGGGUGAGUAACACGUGGGUGAUCUGCCCUGCACUUCGGGAUAAGCCUGGGAAACUGGGUCUAAUACCGGAUAGGACCAUGGACUUCACGGUUUGUGGUGGAAAGCUUUUGCGGUGUGGGAUGGGCCCGCGGCCUAUCAGCUUGUUGGUGGGGUAAUGGCCUACCAAGGCGACGACGGGUAGCCGGCCUGAGAGGGUGUCCGGCCACACUGGGACUGAGAUACGGCCCAGACUCCUACGGGAGGCAGCAGUGGGAAGUAUUGCACAAUGGGCGCAAGCCUGAUGCAGCGACGCCGCGUGAGGGAUGACGGCC